UACGGAGGGUGCAAGCGUUAUCCGGAUUCACUGGGCUUAAAGGGCGCGUAGGCGGGCAAGUAAGUCAGUGGUGAAAUCUCCGGGCUUAACCCGGAAACUGCCAUUGAUACUAUUUGUCUUGAAUACUGUGGAGGUCAGCGGAAUAUGUCAUGUAGCGGUGAAAUGCUUAGAUAUGACAUAGAACACCAAUUGCGGAGGCAGCUGGCUGCACAAAUAUUGACACUGAGGCACGAAAGCGUGGGGAUCAAACAGG
rnacentral:rRNA from 1 species